CAAGGCGACGAUCAGUAGGGGUUCUGAGAGGAAGGUCCCCCACAUUGGAACUGAGACACGGUCCAAACUCCUACGGGAGGCAGCAGUGAGGAAUAUUGGUCAAUGGACGAGAGUCUGAACCAGCCAAGUAGCGUGCAGGAUGACGGCCCUAUGGGUUGUAAACUGCUUUUAUAAGGGAAUAAAGUGAGCCUCGUGAGGCUUUUUGCAUGUACCUUAUGAAUAAGGACCGGCUAAUUCCGUGCCAGCAGCCGCGGUAAUACGGAAGGUCCGGGCGUUAUCCGGAUUUAUUGGGUUUAAAGGGAGCGUAGGCCGGAGAUUAAGCGUGUUGUGAAAUGUAGACGCUCAACGUCUGCACUGCAGCGCGAACUGGUUUCCUUGAGUACGCACAAAGUGGGCGGAAUUCGUGGUGUAGCGGUGAAAUGCUUAGAUAUCACGAAGAACUCCGAUUGCGAAGGCAGCUCACUGGAGCGCAACUGACGCUGAAGCUCGAAAGUGCGGGUAUCGAACAGGAUUAGAUACCCUGGUAGUCCGCACGGUAAACGAUGGAUGCCCGCUGUUGGUCUGAAUAGGUCAGCGGCCAAGCGAAAGCAUUAAGCAUCCCACCUGGGG
rnacentral:rRNA from 1 species